rnacentral:lncRNA from 1 species
UAGAGUGGAGUAUAUGUGGUCAGUUGCUCCACUAUCCAGAAUCCAUGUCAUAUGUUGGUUUAUAGGCAUACCUGAUGAUUCUAUGUCAUCAUGAGAUGUGGAUGCAGCAGAUAUGAUAUUGUUUGUGUCUCCAAAUGCACCAUUCUCCUUAUGUGUUGGUGUGUGCUUCAUUGAAUUUGCCUGCUGGAGCAUGCUAACAAGACCCUGAUAUUGUUAAUGGCUUAAUCC